rnacentral:rRNA from 1 species
UACGGAGGGUGCAAGCGUUGUUCGGAAUCACUGGGCGAAAAGCGCGUGUAGGCGGCCAUUUAAGUCUGGUGAGAAAGCCCUGGGCUCAACUCAGGAAGUGCACUGGAUACUGGAUGGCUGGAGUACCGGAGAGGAGGGCGGAAUUCCUGGUGUAGCGGAGAAAUGCAUAGAAAACAGGAGAAACAACGGAGGCGAAGGCGUCCCUCUGGCCGGAUACUGACUCUGAGACGCGAAAGCGUGGGGAGCAAACAGG